rnacentral:rRNA from 1 species
CACGUAGGGCGCAAGCGUUGUCCGGAAUUAUUGGGCGUAAAGAGCUCGUAGGCGGUCUGUUACGUCUGCUGUGAAAACCCGGGGCUUAACCCUGGGCUUGCAGUGGAUACGGGCAGACUAGAGGCAGGUAGGGGAGAAUGGAAUUCCCGGUGUAGCGGUGAAAUGCGCAGAUAUCGGGAGGAACACCGGUGGCGAAGGCGCUGCUCUGGGCCGGUACUGACGCUGAGGAGCGAAAGCGUGGGUAGCAAACAGG